GGUGAAAUGGCCGAGCGGUCUAAGGCGCCACGUUAAGGCCGUGGUCUAGUAAUAGGCGUGGGUUCGAAUCCCACUUUCAUCA
rnacentral:tRNA from 8 species